rnacentral:siRNA from 1 species
UUUGGUGAUCCGAAGAUAGUU